rnacentral:rRNA from 1 species
CACGUAGGGGGCGAGCGUUGUCCGGAUUUAUUGGGCGUAAAGAGCUCGUAGGCGGCUCGGUAAGUCAGGUGUGAAACCUCCAGGCUCAACCUGGAGACGCCACCUGAUACUGCCGUGGCUAGAGUCCGGUAGAGGAGCGUAGAAUUCCUGGUGUAGCGGUGAAAUGCGUAGAUAUCAGGAGGAACACCGGUGGCGAAGGCGGCUCUCUGGACCACAACUGACGCUGAGGCGCGAAAGCCAGGGGAGCAAACGGG